UGUGACCCGUAAAAAGAACAAUUUCCAGCGGGGUCCUGAACAAAAACAAUCUUUCAGGCAGAUCAAGCAAGAGAUUGCACAUGCCGUGGCUCUUGGACCAGUCAGGACGGGACCAGAUGUAAAGAAUGUCCUCUACUCUGCAGCUGGAGAUAAAGGUCCCUCCUGGAGCCUCUGGCAAAAGGUGCCUGGUGAGACGUGAGGGCGACCACUGGGUUUGUGGAGCCGAAGCUACAGAGGUGCUGAGGCCAAUUCCACCCCUGUGGAGAAGGAAAUCUUAGCAGCCUAUGAAGGCAUACGAGCAGCUUCAGAGCUUUCAUAUUCAGCAAUGUCCUCACUCCUGACAGACCAGGAUCCCCUUUCCAGAGUAAUGGAGGAGCAUUGGGAUUUUUAAUCCAAAAUUCCCGGAUUUGAAUGAAAGGCUCUGGAAAGGCUCUGGAAAUCAUUUGGUGUUCACAAUCAUCAGUGAAGAUGUUCACCAGGAAUUGCUAAUCACUGGCCUCCAGCUGGAUGUUGCACUCCUGAUCACCACCCUGGCCAGAAGAUUUCCACCAGCCUGCUGUCUGCUCAUCCAGCCCAUACUUCAUAGGCCUCUCUGUGAGGGAGCCCUGUCCGUGUCCACAGGUACACACAUUUAUUUUGAUUUUAAAAAAUCAAACAGAAGUGAGUGUUUUACCACCAGAAUUAUUUUUCAAAGGGAAAUAGAAGUAUAUGGCUUUGAUGGAACGAGUGCCUUCAAACUCCAUUGGCAGGCACUGUUUGAAAACUAUUUGGGUGAUGUUUUAU